UACGUAGGCAGCAAGCGUUGUUCGGAAUUACUGGGCGUAAAGGGCUCGUAGGCGGCCAACUAAGUCGGAUGUGAAAUCCCCAGGCUUAACCUGGGAACUGCAUCCGAUACUGGAUGGCUUGAAUUCGGGAGAGGGAUGCAGAAUUCCAGGUGUAGCGGUGAAAUGCGUAGAUAUCUGGAGGAAUACCGGUGGCGAAGGCGGCAUCCUGGACCGAGAUUGACGCUGAUGAGCGAAAGCUAGGGGAGCAAACGGG
rnacentral:rRNA from 1 species